rnacentral:rRNA from 1 species
CUACGGGGGGCAGCAGUUAGGAAUAAUCUACAAUGUACGCAAGUAUGAUAGUUUGAGCCAGAGUGUCUUUCAAUCGAAAGACUUUUGCCAAAUGUAAAAAGUUUGGCGAAUAAGGACUGGGUAAGACGAGUGCCAGCCGCCGCGGUAAUACUCGCGGUCCAAGUCGCAGCCAUUUUUAUUGGGUCUAAAACAUCCGUAGCUUGCUUGAUAAGUUUCUUGUGAAAUCUUGUGUCUUAAGCACAAGGCGUGCAAGAAGUACUGCCAAGCUAGAGACUGGAAGACGUAAGGAGUACGUUCGAAGUAGUGGUUAAAUACUUUAAUCUCGGACGGACUUACAAUAGCGAAGGCACCUUACGAGGACAGUUCUGACAGUAAGGGAUGAAGGCUAGGGUCGCAAAACGGAUUAGAUACCCUGGUAGUC